UACGAAGGGGGCUAGCGUUGUUCGGAAUUACUGGGCGUAAAGCGCGCGCAGGCGGCUAUCCAAGUCAGUGGUGAAAGCCCGGAGCUCAACUCCGGAACUGCCAUUGAAACUGUUUAGCUUGAGUAUGAGAGAGGUGAGUGGAAUUCCCAGUGUGGAGGUGAAAUUCGUAGAUAUUGGGAAGAACACCGGUGGCGAAGGCGGCUCACUGGCUCAUUACUGACGCUCAGGCGCGACAGCGUGGGGAUCAAACAGG
rnacentral:rRNA from 1 species